AGUGCAAUUGCUGGGUCAUAUGGUAAGAGCAUUUUAAUUUUAUAAGUAAUUGCCAAAUAAUUUUCAGAAUGACUGUAUCAUUUUAUGUUCUCACCAGCAAU
rnacentral:pre_miRNA from 1 species